UCGAGGGGACAAAGAAUGAGCAGUGUGCACUACAGAUGCUCUGAGCAGUUUUUCAAGCAAAUAGGGGCGUGCAAUAAAUAGCGUGUGUAUGCAUAUAAAGAGGGAGAGAGACUUACUUUUAAUUAGGAAAAUAAUGUUUCAUGUGUAAAUCCAGACAUCCUUAAAACCCAGCCUCUCCAACACACCGUUUAUUUUAUGGUCCAGACAUAGAAUUUCCUGGAGGAAAAGAUUGGGGCCCAGUGUUGUGUUCCGAGCGAGCGAGCGGGUGUGCAUAUUCUUAGCUUAGUUGCGGGCCCUUCUCUCGCUUUUGGAGGAGUUUAUGCCAGGGCCCAAAGGCAGACAGCCCAGCCUGGGCAGCCACGGGAGCCUGUGGCCGGGCUGGCGGCGCGGAGGCUACAACCAGACACGCUCGGAACCAGCCUUCGCCCGUGCCUCCGAGACCGUGGGCCGCCGCCUGUCAGCCUCAUAGGCUGUGCUCUUGGGCUUUUUCUGUGUUUCCAUUUCUCGUGGCCUCGUCUGUCUUAUCUAACAAGUUCACGCUCGGUGAGGAAAAAAAAAAAAAAAAAAAAAAAACCUCUUCACCGCGGUGAUUCAGAGUUCGGACGCUGCGGAGCCAAACUCGCCGAUGGAGCGCUCUCCCUGAACGCCGCCUUCUCUCUCUGCGCGCCUUAAGAAAAUUCCAGAGGGAAGCAAAAUGAAAAUAUUUCCAAGGUGAUCGUUUGCGACGACUCGCUUCCAAUUCUGAUUAGAAGCUGAGGAGAAUCUGCAACCGCGAGGAGAAAACCACUCCGAGCCACCCCACGAGCGAGCGAAGGUCUUGGAACCAGAGAGAAAGGAAAGGAAGAGACACACGUAGAGAGCAUGUGUUACCUGGUUUAUUUCAAGAUUGUUUGAUACCGUGUUCUCUCUGGGCUCCUCUCAUUUCGGAAGGCCAUCAGAGGCGCCCACCACUGAGCCGCCCCUGCCCGCAGCCGCAGCCCCCGGAGCCCAGGGCCCGGCUUCCCCGCGGCGCUGCAGCCCGAGCUCGCCGCCUCCCGGGCCCAGGAACCGAGUAAGUAACCCCUGCUCGGCCCAGCGCGGCCCGCUCACUUCCUCCUCCUCCUCCUCUUCCCAAAGGCCCAAACCUCUCCCCACCGCCUCCUCCAAGGUUAGGGCGCCCCUCGGCACACACGCCCGGGCUGGGCCUCCCGCGCCCUGGGCGCACAGCUCCGGCUGGAACCGCACCUUAGACAAGGGGCCCAAUUUUGCUGCGGGCUCAGAAAUGCCAGCGCCAGGCCUGCAGGGCCGACUCAGAAAGUAGUGCCUGGCCUCUUCCUCCUCCAUUUCCAGCUCUCGGCUCGCAUCCUCUCCCUGCACUCCCACUCUUCCCUCCACCACCCUUCCAUCACCACCACCCCCGCUUUUAAAAAUAAAAUUGGAUACAAACUUUAAUCAAUAAGGACAAAUAUUGACGCUCAAGCGCAAAUGGCCCAACACAAUGAGAAGGACGCCGACAGUGUGAGCUAUCUAUCUGCCCUAGGAGAGGGGGUUCGGUGGAACGGAGCCGACGGGGCGCAGGGAGUGGCGGGGUGCAGAGCGGGGCU
ensembl:lncRNA